UCUAAGACAUACAACACGUACGCGCAUGCGUACUUUAAAGUCCAUGCGGAUACAGGAAUGCGUCAUGUGUCUCCUCCAGUCCUAAUUUGGUUAAGACGGGUGCAUUCCUUUGCAGUGAUGCAAAUUUGACGUCUCGCAAAGGAAACGGGCAUAAAAGCGUGCACUUUCCCUAGGGAUCUCACAGAACGGCACCAGUUGCAACGUUCGACGCCUAAUCGAAAAUGGAGCAUUCCUUCUCGACUUGUUUUAUUUUGCUCGUCCUCGGACUCAUCAUUUCAUCUGCAGCUGUACAAGCCACCGGGAACAAUGGACAGGAGCAGCGUGGUUGCGCGCCACAAAGUACAGAGGAACGUAUGAAUUUGAAGGAGCCAAGAACCGUAGGUGCCGGUCGCCACCAACAGAAGCGUAGCUACUGUCGUGAACUGAUCUGUCCGCGAGCAUGCAAAGACCAGCCACCUGAAUGGGAGCAAUUCUGCGUUAACAUGUGCAUGAAGACAGCAGUACACAUCCCUCUCUGCGCUAAGUAGAAGCAGUGAUGAAUCAAGUGCCGACGCCUGCUUAGCAUGCAGCUAUGUACCGGUAAUAAUGAGCUCCUCCCUUUUUCAGAAGGCUUGUAAUCUUUCCAUGCGAUGCAAUAAAUACGAGGCAGACUGCUUCUAAAUAACAACAACAA